GACGUAGGGCGCGAGCGUUGUCCGGAUUUAUUGGGCGUAAAGAGCUCGUAGGCGGCUUGUCGCGUCGGCUGUGAAAUCCCGUGGCUCAACUGCGGGUCUGCAGCCGAUACGGGCAGGCUAGAGUUCGGUAGGGGAGACUGGAAUUCCUGGUGUAGCGGUGAAAUGCGCAGAUAUCAGGAGGAACACCGGUGGCGAAGGCGGGUCUCUGGGCCGAUACUGACGGCUGAGGAGCGGAAAGCCCAGGGGAGCGAACAGG
rnacentral:rRNA from 1 species